GGAAACGACAUCGAAAGCUUGCUUUUGAUGGGCGUCGACCGGCGCACGGGUGAGUAACGCGUAUCCAACCUGCCCACCACUUGGGGAUAACCUUGCGAAAGUAAGACUAAUACCCAAUGAUAUCUCUAGAAGACAUCUGAAAGGGAUUAAAGAUUUAUCGGUGAUGGAUGGGGAUGCGUCUGAUUAGCUUGUUGGCGGGGUAACGGCCCACCAAGGCGACGAUCAGUAGGGGUUCUGAGAGGAAGGUCCCCCACAUUGGAACUGAGACACGGUCCAAACUCCUACGGGAGGCAGCAGUGAGGAAUAUUGGUCAAUGGGCGAGAGCCUGAACCAGCCAAGUAGCGUGCAGGAUGACGGCCCUAUGGGUUGUAAACUGCUUUUAUAAGGGAAUAAAGUGAGCCUCGUGAGGCUUUUUGCAUGUACCUUAUGAAUAAGGACCGGCUAAUUCCGUGCCAGCAGCCGCGGUAAUACGGAAGGUCCGGGCGUUAUCCGGAUUUAUUGGGUUUAAAGGGAGCGUAGGCCGGAGAUUAAGCGUGUUGUGAAAUGUAGACGCUCAACGUCUGCACUGCAGCGCGAACUGGUUUCCUUGAGUACGCACAAAGUGGGCGGAAUUCGUGGUGUAGCGGUGAAAUGCUUAGAUAUCACGAAGAACUCCGAUUGCGAAGGCAGCUCACUGGAGCGCAACUGACGCUGAAGCUCGAAAGUGCGGGUAUCGAACAGGAUUAGAUACCCUGGUAGUCCGCACGGUAAACGAUGGAUGCCCGCUGUUGGUCUGAAUAGGUCAGCGGCC
rnacentral:rRNA from 1 species